UUCGUCCUGAUGGCCUGCACUCCAGCAGCCUCGGAGCGGAACUGCUGUCUGACAACAUCUCCAAGACGCUACACUCCAAGUGACUGUCUACCUUGUUGGCAGCUCAGCGGGCGAGACGUGCGGCUCUGAUCGCUCGGAUCAAUAGUCUAAGGCUGGAAGUUCAGUAGGGUGUUGGCGAGACGUAACCAUCUGAUCAAUAGGAUCAAUAUGUUAUUCCAGCAGCUGUGUUCCUGUAGGUGUUGGCAGCUCAGGCGCAGAGACGAGCGACUCUGAUUGCAAUCAUCCGUGAUCUAAGGCAGCAACUUCAGCGCAUAGGGUUCAUUACGCACCGGUUUCACUGACUGCAUUUAACGUGCAGCCGAGAUGGAGGACAUGGUGACGGAAGGUGAGCUGCAUGAUGGCAGGCUGAUCGCCGAUCAGAAGGUACUACACUGAAAUACUCCACCCCGGUCAGAGUAACUCUUCUGCACUGGAGCUUUGAAGAUAGAAGUUGUUUUAGUUUGAGAUGGCGUCGUAACCCUCAGG